rnacentral:rRNA from 1 species
UACAGAGGUGGCAAGCGUUGUUCGGAAUUACUGGGCGUAAAGGGCGCGUAGGCGGCCUCGCAAGUCCCGUGUGAAAUCCCUCGGCUCAACUGAGGAAUGGCACGGGAAACUGCGGGGCUUGAGUUCGGGAGAGGGAAGCGGAAUUCCGGGUGUAGCGGUGAAAUGCGUAGAUAUCCGGAGGAACACCAGUGGCGAAGGCGACUACCUGGCCUGUUCUUGACGCUGAGGCGCGAAAGCUAGGGGAGCAAACGGG